GACGAUGCAUAGCCGAGUUGAGAGACUGAUCGGCCACAUUGGGACUGAGACACGGCCCAAACUCCUACGGGAGGCAGCAGUAGGGAAUCUUCCACAAUGGGCGAAAGCCUGAUGGAGCAACGCCGCGUGAGUGAAGAAGGUUUUCGGAUCGUAAAGCUCUGUUGUUGGUGAAGAAGGAUAGAGGUAGUAACUGGCCCCUAUUUGACGGUAAUCAACCAGAAAGUCACGGCUAACUACGUGCCAGCAGCCGCGGUAAUACGUAGGUGGCAAGCGUUGUCCGGAUUUAUUGGGCGUAAAGCGAGCGCAGGCGGAAAGAUAAGUCUGAUGUGAAAGCCCCCGGCUUAACCGAGGAAUUGCAUCGGAAACUGUGUUUCUUGAGUGCAGAAGAGGAGAGUGGAACUCCAUGUGUAGCGGUGGAAUGCGUAGAUAUAUGGAAGAACACCAGUGGCGAAGGCGGCUCUCUGGUCUGUAACUGACGCUGAGGCUCGAAAGCAUGGGUAGCGAACAGGAUUAGAUACCCUGGUAGUCCAUGCCGUAAACGAUGAGUGCUAAGUGUUGGGAGGUUUCCGCCUCUCA
rnacentral:rRNA from 1 species